rnacentral:tRNA from 1 species
GCAGUGGUGGUUCAGUGGGAGAAUUCUUGCGUUCCAUUCAGGAGACCCGGGUUUGAUUCCCAGCCAGUACA